rnacentral:misc_RNA from 1 species
CGAAUGCCACCAAAUCGGUUUUACCCGUGCCGUUCUCUAGCGGGUCGGCUCUGGAGAAACUGUGUGAGUGGGGCGUAUAUAGCGACUUGAUUGAGAUAGACGCGGGUCAUGAUUUUAAUUCGGCUUGGGCGGAUAUAAACCGAGCUUAUCGGAUAUUGAGACCCGGUGGAGUAAUUUUUGGGCACGAUUAUUUCACCGGUGCUGAUAAUAGAGGCGUAAGAAGAGCAGUUAACUUGUUUGCUCAAAUGAAUGGGCUUCAAAUUCAAACGGAUGGCCA